CUUCUUCGAUCUGCUGUGGGCAGAUGAAGUGGAUGUGCGUGUCGAUGCCACCAGCGGUCACGAUCAUGCCUUCAGCCGCGAUGACCUCGGUGCCGGGGCCGACGACGAUGUCCACGCCCGGUUGCACGUCGGGGUUGCCGGCCUUGCCGAUCUUGAAGAUGCGUCCGCUGCGCAGGCCGAUGUCGGCCUUGACGAUGCCCCAGUGGUCCAGGAUCAAGGCAUUGGUGAGCACGCAAUCGACCGCGUCCAUGGGGCCGGGGCCGUUGAUGCGCUGGCUCUGGCCCAUGCCGUCGCGGAUG
rnacentral:sRNA from 1 species